rnacentral:other from 1 species
UUCUGAGGUGUUCGAUAAUUCUUGCUAUUUUGAACCUACAUUUUUUUUCAUGGGAGAUUGAUAUUUAUAAGUGGAUGUCAUGCCUGCUUUGACUGGACGGCAGAAGCUUAUGUGAGAUUACCCACCUAGCUUGGCUAGGACUCAAAAGGCAGGAACCGGCACACUCGGUUGU